AGUGAACGCUGGCGGUAGGCCUAACACAUGCAAGUCGAACGGCAGCACAGGAGAGCUUGUUCUCUGGGUGGCGAGUGGCGGACGGGUGAGGAAUACAUCGGAAUCUACUCUGUCGUGGGGGAUAACGUAGGGAAACUUACGCUGAUACCGCAUACGACCUACGGGUGAAAGCAGGGGACCUUCGGGCCUUGCGCGAUUGAAUGAGCCGAUGUCGGAUUAGCUAGUUGGCGGGGUAAAGGCCCACCAAGGCGACGAUCCGUAGCUGGUCUGAGAGGAUGAUCAGCCACACUGGAAAUGAGACACGGUCCAGACUCCUACGGGAGGCAGCAGUGGGGAAUAUUGGACAAUGGGCGCAAGCCUGAUCCAGCCAUACCGCGUGGGUGAAGAAGGCCUUCGGGUUGUAAAGCCCUUUCGUUGGGAAAGAAAUCCAGCUGGCUAAUACCCGGUUGGGAUGACGGUACCCAAAGAAUAAGCACCGGCUAACUUCGUGCCAGCCGCCGCGGUAA
rnacentral:rRNA from 1 species